rnacentral:rRNA from 1 species
AUUGAACGCUGGCGGCAGGCCUAACACAUGCAAGUCGAACGAGUGGCGGACGGGUGAGUAAUGUCUGGAAAACUGCCCGAUGGAGGGGGAUAACUACUGGCAACGGUAGCUAAUCCCGCAAACCCUCGUAUGUGCCCAGAUGGGAUUAGCUAGUAGGUGGGGUAACGGCGCACCUAGGCGACGAUCCCUAGCUGGUCUGAGCGGAUGACCAGACACACGGGACCUGAGACACAGUCCAGACUCCUACGGGAGGCAGCAGUGGGGAAUCUUGCACAAUGGGCGCAAGCCUGAUGCAGCCAUGCGGAGUGUGUGAAGAAGGCCUUCGGGUUGUAAAGUACUUUAAGCGAGGAGGAGUUACUCGCAGAAGAUGCACCGGCUAACUCCGUGCCAGCAGCCGCGGUAAUUC